rnacentral:lncRNA from 1 species
ACCUCAGCCUCGCUUCUCGCAUCUUCUCAUCCACCGGGGCCACCCCCACCUUCUCUCGAAUAACUUCAUUCUUAAUCUUACUAACCUGGUAAGCCCGCACAUCCACCUGGGCAUCCACAUCUCCGCAACCUUCAUUCUCGGAACAUGAGAGUUCUUCACUGGAACACUUCGCCCCAUACAACAUUGCAGGUCUAACCACAGCUCUAUAAAAUUUUCCUUUGAGUUUCUGUGGAACUUUCUUGUCACACAGGACUCCUGAUGCAAGCCUCCACUUUGACCACCCCGCUCCUAUACGAUCAGUGACGUCCCCGUCAAUCUUUCCGUCCCCCUGCAUCACCGACCCAAGAUAUCUGACACUGUCCCUCUAGGCGAUGAUCUGAGAUCCAAUCAUCACGUCUCUGCCUACUUCGCUUGGCUCGGCGCUAAACUUGCACUCCAGGUAUUCUGUCUUAGAUUUGCUUAUUUUGAAACCCUUAGACUCGAGAGU